rnacentral:rRNA from 1 species
GACGAACGCUGGCGGCGUGCUUAACACAUGCAAGUCGAACGGUAAGGCCCUUUCGGGGGUACACGAGUGGCGAACGGGUGAGUAACACGUGGGUGAUCUGCCCUGCACUUUGGGAUAAGCCUGGGAAACUGGGUCUAAUACCGGAUAGGACUACGCGAUGCAUGUCGUGUGGUGGAAAGCUUUUGCGGUGUGGGAUGGGCCCGCGGCCUAUCAGCUUGUUGGUGGGGUGAUGGCCUACCAAGGCGACGACGGGUAGCCGGCCUGAGAGGGUGUCCGGCCACACUGGGACUGAGAUACGGCCCAGACUCCUACGGGAGGCAGCAGUGGGGAAUAUUGCACAAUGGGCGCAAGCCUGAUGCAGCGACGCCGCGUGGGGGAUGACGGCCUUCGGGUUGUAAACCCCUUUCAGCACAGACGAAGCGUAAGUGACGGUAUGUGCAGAAGAAGCACCGGCCAACUACGG